rnacentral:lncRNA from 1 species
UUUAAAUACAGAGGAAAGUGUUUUUUUGUUCUCGGUUAAUCGAAGCUGGAAGGUUCCAGAGAGAGAGAGAGAGAGCGAUGAAUAGGGUGUGGAAAGGUUUCAUGCAUUGGUGUUGCAGACUUAAGAUCAUGUGCCACAAUCUCAGUGUUUUCAUUGAUGCAUGCAAACAUGUGGAAGUAUUGAAAUCGAAGCGACUGCUAGGAACCUCAUGGCAAUAUCUGUCUAUGUUAAACAGUGGAGGCUCAGAUAAAGCCAGCUUCAGGAUCUUCAAAAUAAUUGAAACUGGAGGAUUCGGAGAAUCUAACUGGGGACAUAUUCCACCCGAAGAGAGAACCAUACCAGUUGACUAAAUACCCAUGUGGAAUUAACUUGAGCUAAGUUAAACCUAUAUAUGAACUGGUUCUUUCUCUUGGAAUUAACUUCAAAUUUACUUUUCUGUUCUUAAUAUUCAACACUUUUUUAUUAAAAUCGUUUAUGCAUUUUACAUUGUUUGCAGUUUUUAUUAUUAUAGUAAGGUUGCAUGAAAGUGACAUGAUCUAAUUACCUCUAUAUACAAUUGUCUGAUAUUCUUCAAUGAUUCCAACAGUCACUAGUUGCAUGACUUAUGCAUGUUCUUCAUGAAAAUGGAACACGAGGUGAAUCUAACAAUUCCUGUAAGUACAUAUUUUUUCAUGUAAGGUGUCGAAGAGUUCAUUUAUUUAUUACUCUGGCUUAACUUUUUAUUUUUUGUUUCAAGUCCAGUUUUGACUCACAACAUAGUCUUCUACUUCAUUUUCAGUGCUAACUGCUAAGCUGUCACAUGGUAUACUGUAAAAUUUCUAGCCAAAUUUCAAUGUUCAUGUUUCACAUUGUUCACCCAAGGCAUUUUAUGCAGCCCACCAAUGCAUACUGGUAUAAUGAUGGUUAUGCAGUUAGGCAUAACCAGUUAACAAGUCAAGCUUGUUAGUUUCCAGGUCCUCACAAUUUCUAGAAUUUAACUCAGGACUUUUAAUAAGAUUGAAGAACAUCAGACCAAAUGACCACGUAAAAGCAACAAUAUUAUUAAAAAUGCUUUUCUUAUGCAGUAUUAAAAUGGGGCAUCAUAUACAGUUUUUCUUAUUAAAAUUUGUUGUGCACAGGGCAGAAUAUGCAGGUUUAACAAGAUGGGUAAGGCCUUAGCCAAAAACAAAAGUCUGGGGCAUUCCGAGAAUCGAACUCGGGACCUCUCGCACCCAAAGCGAGAAUC